rnacentral:rRNA from 1 species
CCUACGGGAGGCAGCAGUGGGGAAUAUUGGGCAAUGGGCGCAAGCCUGACCCAGCAACGCCGCGUGAAGGAAGAAGGCUUUAGGGUUGUAAAAUUCUUUUUUCAGGGACGAAGCAAGUGAUGGUACCUGAUGAAUAAGCCUCGGCUAACUACGUGCCAGCAGCCGCGGUGAUACGUAGGUGGCGGGCGUUAUCCGGAUUUACUGGGUGUAAGGGGCGUGUAGGCGGGAGUGCAAGUCAGAUGUUAAAACUAUGGGCUCAACCCAUAGCUUGCAUUUGAUACUGUACUUCUUGAGUGCUGGAGAGGCAAGCGGAAUGCCGGGUGUAGCGGUGAAAUGCGUAGAUAUACGGCGGAACACCGGUGGCGAAGGCAGAUUACUGGACAGUAACUGACGCUGAGGCGCGAAAGCGUGGGGAGCAAACAGGAUUAGAUACCCCGGUAGUC